AUACGAAGGGUGCAAGCGUUAAUCGGAAUUACUGGGCGUAAAGCGCGCGUAGGUGGUUUUGUAAGUUGGAGGUGAAAGCCCCGGGCUCAACCUGGGAAUUGCCUCCAAAACUGCAUGACUAGAGUACGGUAGAGGGUAGUGGAAUUUCCUGUGUAGCGGUGAAAUGCGUAGAUAUAGGAAGGAACACCAGUGGCGAAGGCGACUACCUGUACUGAAACGGAAACUGAGGUGCAAAGGCGUGGGGAGCAAACAGAAUUAGAUACCCUGGAAGUCCACGCCGUAAACGAUGUCAACUAGCCGUUGGGAUCCUUGAGAUCUUAGUGGCGCAGCUAACGCAUUAAGUUGACCGCCUGGGGAGUACGGCCGCAAGGUUAAAACUCAAAUGAAUUGACGGGG
rnacentral:rRNA from 1 species